rnacentral:rRNA from 1 species
GACGAACGCUGGCGGCGUGCUUAACACAUGCAAGUCGAACGGAAAGGCCCUGCUUUUGUGGGGUGCUCGAGUGGCGAACGGGUGAGUAACACGUGAGUAACCUGCCCUUGACUUUGGGAUAACUUCAGGAAACUGGGGCUAAUACCGGAUAGGAGCUCCUGCUGCAUGGUGGGGGUUGGAAAGUUUCGGCGGUUGGGGAUGGACUCGCGGCUUAUCAGCUUGUUGGUGGGGUAGUGGCUUACCAAGGCUUUGACGGGUAGCCGGCCUGAGAGGGUGACCGGCGACAUUGGGACUGAGAUACGGCCCAGACGCCUACGGGAGGCAGCAGUGGGGAAUAUUGCACAAUGGGCGGAAGCCUGAUGCAGAAACGCCGCGUGCGGGAUGACGGCCUUCGGGUUGUAAACCGCUUUCGCCUGUGACGAAGCGUGAGUGACGGUAAUGGGUAAAGAAGCACCGGCUAACUACGUG